GCGGGAAUAGUUCAGUGGUAGAGCGCGACCUUGCCAAGGUCGAAGUCGCGAGUUCGAAUCUCGUUUCCCGCUCCA
rnacentral:tRNA from 8 species